ACGAGUCCUUACCUCUUAGACGUUCCGACAGAGUUAGAGUUCAUCCCCAGUUUUAUGGCCUUCAUAUUACGACCGAAGGGGACGCGUAUAUUAGUGAUAGUACACUAAUAAAUCUUGAUGAACCUAAUAGCUAUAAGGAAGCCAUGGCAGGCCCGGAGUCUGCAAAGUGGAAAGAGGCAAUGGAUAGCGAGAUCCAAUCCAUGUAUGAUAACCAAGUUUGGAAUUUGGUUGAUUAUGUGCCCGGACGUAAGACCGUUGGGUGCAAAUGGAUCUUCAAGAAGAAGACCGACGUGGAUGGAAACGUACACACAUAUAAAGCGCGAUUGGUUGCGAAGGGCUUUACUCAAACUCCCGGAGUUGACUAUGAUGAGACCUUCUCACCAGUUGCGAAGAUUAAAUCUAUUAGAGUGAUGCUAGCAAUUGCCGCAUUUCAUGAUUAUGAGAUUUGGCAAAUGGAUGUCAAGACCGCUUUCCUUAACGGAAAGUUGGCUGAGGAUGUUUACAUGGCUCAGCCAGAGGGGUUUGUGGAUCCGAAGCAUCCGAAUAGAGUGUGUAAGCUUGAGAAGUCCAUUUAUGGACUUAAGCAAGCGUCUCGCAGAUGGAAUCUUUGCUUCGAUGAGAAAGUCAAAGAGUUUGGAUUUGUACGAAGCGAAGACGAAUCUUGUGUAUAUGUCAAAGCCAGUGGGAGUAUAGUAAGCUUCCUCGUUCUAUAUGUCGAUGACAUAUUACUCAUAGGAAACGACAUCCCGACUCUGCAGGAAGUUAAGUCCUGGCUCGGGAAGUGCUUCGCUAUGAAGGACCUCGGAGAGGCUUCUUACAUUUUGGGAAUAAGGAUAGUAAGAGAAAGAAGUAAGAGACUAAUUGGACUUAGUCAGAAUACUUACUUAGAGAAGGUACUAAAACGUUUUAGUAUGGAAAACUCAAAGAAGGGAGAACUACCGAUACAAAGUAAUGCCAAAUUGAGUAAGACUCAAAGUCCGAGUACCGAAGCUGAGAUAGCAGAAAUGAGCCGAGUACCAUACGCUUCCGCAGUUGGCUCAAUCAUGUACGCUAUGACUUGUACUCGCCCUGAUGUAGCCUUCGCUUUGAGCAUGGUUAGCAGAUAUCAAGGGAAUCCUGGCAAAGCACAUUGGAUUGCGGUGAAGAAUAUCCUUAAGUACCUUCGGAGGACGAAGGAAUGGUUCUUAGUCCUCGGAGGGAGUGAUGACUUGAAGGUGCGAGGGUAUAGUGACGCCAGUUUUCAGACCGACAGGGACAACUACCGUUCGCAGUCGGGCUGGGUCUUUACCCUAAAUGGAGGAGCAGUGACAUGGAAGAGUUCCAAGCAGGAAACCGUAGCUGAUUCAACGUGCGAAUCAGAGUACAUUGCAGCGAGCGAAGCGUCGAAGGAGGCAAUAUGGCUAAAGAACUUCAUCGGUGAUCUUGGAGUUGUACCUGCCAUAAAGGAGCCAAUGGAGAUUUUCUGUGAUAACGAAGGCGCGGUUGCCUUGACCAAGGAACCGAGGGAUCAUGGUAGAUCAAGACAUAUCGACAGAAAAUAUCACUUCAUUAGACAUCGUGUAGAAGAAGGACAACUCGUAGUGAAGAGGAUAUCAUCAGAAGAUAACCCAGCAGAUCCGCUUACGAAGGGACUGAGUAGGGUUAAGCACUUGCAGCAUGCUAGGAGUAUUGGGCUGAAGGAUGAUAUUAGCAUAGAUUAGAUAGUAUUAGAAACGUGUAAUAGAUAAAUGUAAUUGACAUUUGAUGAUUAAAUAAAGGAGUUUUAUUUAUGAGUAAUGUUACUAUCUUAUGUUAAUUGUUUAGCUAUUGUUUCACUUUGCAUGUUUUGACUUCCAGAAUAAUUGAGUUUAUUAGGAAUAAUCGAAUUGUUCAAAUGGUCCACAAUCGUUCAUAUGUUGGAAGUAGAUAUGAAUGAAGAUUGUCAUGAAUUGGUGUGUAGAAUGUCUAAAUGGUGUUAGACAUAGCAAAGGAUUGCUGCAACGUUCAUGAGUGCUUAUGAACUAGUUUUGAGCAUUGGAAUAAACCCGCGCUUGCUGGAAUCACCUUAUGGAAUACGAUAUAAAAGGUGAUCGCAAGACGAUAAUAUCAUAUAGUCUUAAAACCUAGAUAUAUGGUUUAUUAUUUGUUAAUUGAUUGUACAUUGAUAAUACGAAAACGCAUCAGUAACUUGGUGUUAUAAAACGUAUUGUUGUGUAUAGUUGGUUAAUGAAUAAGUAAAUGCAUAUAAGUCGAAGUUUAUCUGUAACUUUUAUCUAAGAAGGUAAAAGCGAUAUCUCGGCCGCUCGAUGAUUUGAUUUGACUUAUGUGCCGGGCCCGGUCAGAACUGAAUUGAUGUGUUCGAUUAAGUUCUAUGUCAAAUAAAUCAGAGAUCGAGAAACCUAAAUGCUUGACUAACCAUUCCAUAGGAUUGUCAGCAUGAUAUCUAACAGAGGACUGUACGUUCCCUUAUCUAAAGGACAAGAUUGAUUAGAUCAGAGUUGACAGCGUCUUUGAGAGCUACGAUUGCAAACCGAAUUGUACUUGUGAAUAUAGUUACUAGACUUAUCCAAGUGGGAGACUGUUGGAAUAGUGUCUAAGGCUGCAACUAUAUUAGGCAAGUAUUUGACCCGGUUGUGCAUGGUCCUUUUGGGUUGCCUUCACCAUAGCAACUUGAUAAGAUGAUUUAUUAAGAGAGACUAAAUAUUAUUAAUAUAUUAUGAGAAUAAUAUAAUGAAUAAUAUAAUAUAUUGUUAUUUGAUUAAUAUAAGUCAUAGAAUUAAUUAAUUUGGUGACUUAAAGAGAUUAAUUAAAUAAAGGGGUAUAAACUGUCAAUUGUUUGAUAGUUAAGCUUUAGACUGUAAAUCCAUUGGGGUAUGCUUCGGACGAAUUCUAAGAGUGUUAGGAUAGCCAAAAUCUUCCAAAGGCUUAUCUAUGGAAUGGAUUUGGAGAGCCUUAAGAGAAGAUUAUCCAAUUAGGGUUUAGGUUGUAACCCUUAAGGAGUCUACAAGUAUAAAUAGACCCCAUGGCAUAGGGAAUUCGACACUUGAACUAAAAUAAGGAACCUCUGGUCGAAUUCCUUCCCUCUCCUCUCUCCUAAAUCAUUCUUCUUGCUUUGGUGUUUGUAAGCCAUUAGAGGAGUGACAUUUGUGACUCUAGAAGCUCCAAGACCUCAAGAUCAACAAGGAACUCAAAGGUAUGAUUCUAGAUCUAUUUCAAUGUUGUUAUUUAACCUAAUUAGUCAUUAGAAUACUUGGAUUCAAAGCAUGUUUAUUAGAAAGCCUAGAUCCGAGCAUUAGGGUUUUGCAUGCGCACAUAGGAAAGUUCUUAUGGCUAAAACCCAUCACUAAUACCCAUUUCAAUUUUCAGAGUUAUGUGUUCUACGGCCAGACGUUCCCGGGUUUCAAGUCGUUCUACCCUUUCAACAAGAGACUGCGAGUUAGGGAUCUCUGUAUUCUGAGAUUGGUUGGUGGAGACUACAUCCAAAAUUUGGUCGACUUCGGAUUGGAGAGAGAAAUAUUCUUUUCUUGUAACAUCCAGCUUCUUCUUCUUCUUCUUCUUAGCCUUGGGUUUUGAAGUGGAGUGUUGGGAUCCACUUGAUUCCUUUUCGUCAAAAAUCAUUAAAAAUUCAUCUGAUUUGGGGGGAUGCUGAACGUCUUGAAGAUCAAAAUCAUCAAGUCCAAACAUUGGAUCUGAAUUGAUCUCAAUUGCGGUUCCAUCAUCAUUAGAAUCAUGAUUUUCAACAGUUGAGGGAGGCUUUGAUGGACCAGCACCACCUUGAAAAAUUUAAGCCUGUUCAAAUGUAGAUUCCAUUUUCAAUGCCCAUUCUUGAAUCUAUAGGAUGUAAUGAACUGUCUUGGCAUUGCUAAAUGAAUCUACCCAAUACUUGGAAACUGUUUGAAGAUCUCUUUCCUUUUGUUGUUGCUAUUGAACUUGUUGUUUCCUUGCCUUGAAUUCCCUUUGAAAAGCUUCAUACUUUCUGAUUCCGGACUCAGUAGUUAGUCGAUCCCGUGUCCAAGAAUCAUCUAAUCGAUAUCCACUAAGUCCUUGGUUUCACAGCGAGGUGUCCUUCGGGUUCGUGGUUCCAUGCACUGUUGUGGUCCCUACACCUACACCACUUGAGAGUAAGGGUGGUGGAAUAGGAUCUACUGAGCUUCCUCGAUGUCCUUGACCUGUAGUCAAGUCUGGCAUCGACUUAGUUCUGGCUAAGGCGGAAGAAUUACCUUGCAGUGCAAUUGGUGUUUCAAGUGUUUUAAAUAGGAUCCGGGUAAGGUACCGGGUAAAGUGGGUCUAGAACCGGAAAACCCAGAAAUAUCAAAGUGGGUCGAAUGGAACCGGGUAAAGUGGGUCUAAACCGAAAAACCCGGUGAACUGGGUAAAGUAGGUCGAAUGCAUGUUUUAAAAUUUCACAAAAUACAAAAAUAAAACUGAGAAAAAAAUAAAGAAAAUUCGCAGCUUUGAUAUCCCAACUUUGGGAGACUAUAAAUCAGUGAAUAUGAAACAAAAAAUGACGAAAUUAUACUCUAAAAUCAUGUACAAACUCAAUACUACACUUUAGAAAAAACCGCAUGCUAUUCCGACUUCAAGCGAAUUAGAUAUGCAUGUUUUAAAUCUAUCACAAAUUACAAAGAAAGCUGAAAAACAUAAAAUUUUUAGCUUUGAUAUCUCGACUUUGAGAGACUAUAAGUCAAUGAAUAAACACCCAAAAAUAACAAAAUUAUAGUCUAAAAUCAUGUACAAACUAUAAACUACACUUUGGAAAAAACCUCAUGCCAAUCCGACUUCAAACGAAUUAGAUAUACAUGUUUUAAAACUAUCACAUAAUAUGAAAAAAGCUGAAAAACAUAAAAUUUCCAGCUUUGAUAUCCAGACUUUGAGAGACUAUAAGUCAAUGAAUAUAAACCCAAAAAUGACAAAAUUAUAGUCUAAAAUCAUGUACAAACUAUAAACUAUACUAUGGAAAAAACCUCAUGUCAAUCCGACUUUAAACGAAUGAGAUAUUCAUGUUUUAAAACUAUCACAAAAUACAAAAAAAAAAGUUGAAAAGCAUAAAAUUUCCAGCUUUGAUAUCCCGAAUUUGAGAGACUAUAAGUUAAUGAAUAUAAUCCAAAAAAUGACAAAAUUAUAGUCUAAAAUCAUGUUAAAAUUAUAAACUAUACUAUGGAAAAACCUCAUGCCAAUCCGACUUCAAACGAAUGAGAUAUGCAUAUUUUAAACUUUUCAUAGAAACCGGUUCCGGCCCCUAAAACCAGUUCCGGUUCUUAAGCCCGGUUUACCCGGACCAGAAGGACCUGAAACCCGGAUUAUCCGGAACCCGGAUAGAGCCAUUCUUUAAACCCGGGACCCGGACCGGUUUUACAUAUUCCGGUUCUAACGGUUCCGAUUUCGGUCCGAUUCUGGUUCCGGUUCGGUUUUCCGGUUCUAAAUCUCAUCCCUAGAUACACUUACUGUAUCUUAGUGGUGGGAUGGGGUUUGAGAGUUGAGCCUGUGGUAUCUCAAACGACUACCAAAGUCUGCUUAGAGACUUCGAUAUGAGUCGGGACACGCAUUUAGCUAUAACUAGGGGUGAGCUUCAGUUUCAUUCUUCUAAACACAUCACCUAAGUCCGAGGACUCAUGAUGGGAAUCGUUGACAAUAUUAACUGGGAUUUCUUGAAUUUUGGAGGGGGAGGUAAGAGCUUCAUCAGAUGAUUCUACAGUUCUAGAUUUGCAUUUUUUUGAGGGAUUUCCAUCCUGUUUGACUGUGUUACGGGGUGCUUUCUUUGAAGUUACAGUUUUCUUGAUGUAUUUAGGUUUGGGUAGGCUAGUCUGGUCUGUAGUAGGACAGAUUUAAGUUGCAGUAGGAACUGCAGUAGUGGGAGGAUUCUAGGUUUCGGUAAGGGAUGCGGUAUCCUGACCUGGUCUGGGCGGGGAAGAGUGGUAUGGGUCAAUACCACUCGUAGCCAUAAUGUGGCCAGUUACUGCGGUGUUUGUGAGUCCAAUGGACUCCAAAAUAUACAUGGGUAAUCUCCUAAGGGGUCCAAAAAGAGAUUUAUAUUUGCAAGUUGUGUAUCUUUUCAAGUUGCGGGUAACAUAGAGAGUAGUGUCAUCACCCAUGUUGAGCCUUUCAUCCUUGUGAAGAUCUGAAAUACAUAAAGACCAUAAUCGAGCAAACAUGAGCUCGAUUGCAUCUUCUCUAAGUGCCUCCUUUGGAAUGUACUGCAAGAAGUCAUCACACGGUAUUUGUCCGUAAUUGACCGCGUUUCUGGUGAAGAUGCUCCCUACUACUUCGAGAAGUUUGAUUCCCAUGUUGUCUGUUCUGUAGGUUCUGCCGGAAAGACUCCUGAAGACGAAGUGGCACACGAACUACCACACCGCAGAAGUUGAUUCUUUUUGAAUUCGCUGAUACCUCUUAUUUUCAUCUGGUAACCCAUCUGCAACAACGUUGAAAUGAAAUCAUUAGGGCUAGUAGAGUAGAAUUUUGUUGAAGUAAGAACCCUAAGAUUGAUUGCUUCCAGAAACUUGGUCUUGGUCAGAACGACAUGAGAAUCAUCAAUUAAAUUCAAAUGCACUUCAUGAAGGUUGUGACUUAGCCUGAAAAGCAGAGAAGGCACAUUAGAACAUAGUAGGUAAAGGAACAAUGUCAGUGAAUGAGUUGAAUGCACCAUAGAGUGGAUGAGAUGAGAGUAACUUGAUCAUCACACGAAUCGCCUCAUUAUAUGUUGGAUGAUCUUCAAACAUAACCCUAUAAUUGAUUGAGGCAAUGGAUGGAGACUGAGCUUUGAUUGUUGUUUAAGAACCAAUAAGUUUAGCAGGCCAGAUGCCUUGGAGUGCUUCUUAGAGAUACCUAAUUUCACCAUUUUGAAAAAGUUAAGAACUUGCAAAAAACUUUAAGCAAGAAGAUGAAGAAGAUGAAGUUCUUCGUAAGAGUUUAGAAAGCGUAAAGAUUUCUUGGGAAAAUUUGGGUUUUAUAUUGUAAUUGUUUUAUUUUCAGUUGUUAACGUUAAAAACCCUUGGGUUUUUACCAUUAUCAGAUACAAUUAAAAUAAACCCAAAAGAAAAAGAUAUGGCUGAAAAAUCGAAACAUUUAAUGUUUGUCUGACACAUGAUCACACACCGAGAGAACGUGUUGUGAGGGUUUUUAUCCGUUGGAAAAUUGGGUAGUUGAAAUGGUUUUGACAUCAAAAUGGAUGUGAGCUGUGAACGAUUGAGAAAAGUGAUUUCUUUAUAGACUGUAUUUUUAUGGAAAAACGAUUUAUUUGAAUUAUAGCCUAAAAUAGGUCUGACUAAAGAAAGAGAAUUUGAGAGGAACUGAAAUGUUGUAUGCUACAAAAUGAAUGUUGUAAAGAAUGUUUUUAUUUAUUGAAGAACAUUAAAUAGCACACAAAAGUCUCAAUUUUUUAUUUAAGGAGUUGAUGAAUCAUUUAUUGCAACUACGGUUUAGGUAAGAUGACUGUGGUGUCAUAUGUUGAGAUUGUGGAUGGAUUCAGAUGACUACAGUAGCUUGAACUGGAGGAACACUUUACAGGAAGUUAGAAAUAAAAGAAAUAAAAGGCCCAAAGAAUAUAUAGAGACUAUAUAUGAUUGCGGUAUACUGGGUACACUGAAAGGAUAUAUAAUGAAUAUAUAAUUCUUGAGCCGUAGUGAGGCAAAUGCUUCAAGAUUUUUACUUUCAAAAAAAAGAAGCAAUUCCUUCACACUCGAAGACCAGAUGUGGUCUGCGAUACUUAGUAAUUCAAAAGAAUUGUGGGUCUAGAUCCAUCAUUCCUAGCAUUUCUAGAAAUAUAUUUACUUUUGUAGCAUCAAGUGCCUUGGUAAAAAAAAUCUACUAUUUCCUCAUGAGUGGGAACAAAAAAUAGUUGGAUGUUAUCUUUGAGGAUGUAAUCCUUGAUGAAGUGGUACCAUAAUUGAUUAUGUUUCGUCUUCGAAUGGUGAAUAGGAUUAUGAGGAAUCGUUAUAGCACUCUCUGAGUCACAAUAAAUUGGUACCCGCAACAUUCUGUAUCCAUAAUCCAUGAGUUGAGUCUUCAUCCAUAGAACUUGAGAACAACAACUGGCUGCGGCCACAUACUUAGCUUCUGCGGUAGACAAUGAGACACAAUUUUGCUUCCUUAAAGACCAGCUGACUAGUCUUCCUCCUAGGAAUUGGCAUCCACCUGAAGUGCUUUUUCGAUCUAAUUCACACCCAACAUGAUCUGCAUCCGUGAACACUUAGAGGCUGAAGUUAUUUCCUGCGGGGUACCAGAGGCCCAACGCUUUACUUCCAUUUAAGUAUCUGAGAAUUUUCUUGACUGCGGUCAAGUGAGAUACUUUGGGAUCCGCUUGGUACCUAACACAUAAGACUGUUGCAAAGACAAUAUCCAGUCUGAUUGUGGUGAGGUAUAUCAAUGACCCAAUCAUUCCACGAUGAGUUUUGUGGUCAACCGAUUCUCCGGUAGGAUCAGAUGAAAUUAGGGAUAGCAAAAAAGAUGGAACCCGAUGAGGAAACCCAAAACCCGAUCAUUUCGGGUCGGGUCACGGGUCGUUAUCAGGUUUGGGGCAGGGAGUGGGUAUAUAUAAUAUGUUUCAGACCUUUUGAUGUUAGUUGCACGCGUUCAAAGAUAAAAUACUUAUCGUGGACAAUAUUUUUAGUUAUUAACAAUCUGGUGUGAAUGAUCGUUUUUUUUUAUGUUUUGAUGUCUUACACUAAACUUAAAUCAAAUAAUUUUUAAUAUAACAUCCAAUUUAUUUUAUUAAAUUUAUGCAUGAUAUUUUUAAUUUAAAGGAGAUGCUACAACAAAUAUUUUUUUAUAAGAUAUCUGGGUACUCUAAAACGGAAUAAAGAUUUCGUUAUGAAUUGUUGUAAAAUCGAUGAGAUAACCCGAAACCCAAUGGGGCGCCCUGAUAAGAUACCCGAAAGAUAUCGGGGCGGUUUGGGAAACCAUGCCCCACCCCGAACCCACCCCGUUGCCAUUCCUAGAUGAAAUCUUGUAUCCGAAGGCCAUCUGGACCUUUCCUGAGGAACAAUUUGAUGGGUUUUGAGCAAAACAACAAUCCUAUGGUGCACAUGCAAAACCCUAUAGCUUUGGAUCUAGGUAUCUCUAUUGUACAUGCAAAUUUAUCCAAAGCUUACAAACCCUAGAUCUAGCAUACAAAAUGUGAAAUUAACAACUAAAACAAGUUUAGAUGAUUAUCUUUCAUAAGUAGCAAGAAUAUUCAACUUCAAGAGCUUAGUAUCAAAAUUGUAAUACCUCUAAUGGCUUACACACACCAAGGCAAGAAGAUGAUCUUUGAAGAGUGGAAUGGAGGAAAAAAAUCGGCUCUAAGGACUCCAUGGCUCUUCUGGUCGCCGAUUUUGGAUGCCCUAGGGGUCCUUAAAUAGCUGAGCUGCUAGCGUUUCAGUCAAAACCCUUAUUUGAUGACUUAGGCCUUAAGCGGUCCAAUGGAACAUUUUGGAAUAAGGCCAUGGACGAAAUCAUAGUGGGCUUCCACUCUAAUUUCGUCCAUCCCUUAAUCCACAAGAUCCAUAACCCAAAUCCAAUUAUCUUAUAAUUGGCAAUACCAAUCCCCUUUGUUUAACUAAUCUCUUUUAGCCACAAAAUUAACUCUUAAUUAAUUCUUGACCAAUAUUAAUUAAACAAUAUGAUUUCUAUUUUAAUAUAUUAUUCUUAUAAUAUAUUAAUAAACCAUAAUAUCCUCUCUCUCCAUAAAUCAUCCAGUCAAAUUUCUUUGGUGAAGGAACCUAAAAGGACCAUGCUACAACCGAGUCAAGUACAUACCAAAUAUAGUUAUGGACUUAGAAACUAAUCCAAUAGUAUCCCAUUUGGAUAAGUCUAAUAACUAUAAAUGCAAGUAAGAAUUUAGGAUCCGAUUAGCAAUCGUAGCUCUCAAAAGCUGCCCAUCGAACUCUGAAUCGUUCCUUAGAUAAGGGAUCAUGUAGUCAUUUGUUCCCAAGAUAUCGUGUGGACAAUUACAUAGAACAUACUCAUACUUAUUGUCCAGCAGUUUGUUUCUUGAUCUCUGAUUCGUCUGACAUAGAACUUAAUUGAACACAUCAAUUCAGUCCAGACCGGGACCGACAAAUAAGUUAAACCAAAUCAUCGAGGGGCCCAGAUAUCGCUUUUACCCUCUUAGGAAAAAUGGAACAGAUAAACUUCGACUUAUAUGCAUUGACUAUUCACUCAUCAAAUCAUGCACAACAAUGUGUUUUAUAACAUCAAGUUACUGAUGCGUUUACGCAUAUCAAUGCACAACCAGCUUGCAAACAAUAAACCAUAUAUCUAGGUUUAAAUACUAUAUGAUAGUAUCGUCUUGCGAUCACUCGUGAUAAAUUCCAUGAAGUGGUGCUAGCAAGUGUGGGUUUAAUCCAAUGCUAAAAUCUUAUUUCAUAAGAACUCAUGAAUGUUUCAGCAAACUUUUGCUAUGUCUAAUACACUUUAGCCAAUCUACAAACCAAUUCAUGAUAGUCUUCUUUCAUACCUACUUCCAUAGUACGAGCGCCUGUGGACUGUUCGAAUAAUCUUAUUAUUCAGGAAGUCAAAACAUGAAAAGUGAAACAAUAGGUAAAUAAUUAACACAAGAUAGUAACUUUACUCAUAAAUAAUACUCCUUUGUUUAAUCAUAAAAUGUUAAUUACAAUUUAUCUAUUACGCGUUUCGAAUCUAUCUAAUCUAAACUAAUAUUGUCCUUCACCCCAAUGCUACUAGCGUGCUACAAGUGCUUAAACCUACUCAGUCCCUUCGUAAGGGGAUCUACUGGGUUAUCCUCUUACGAUACCCUCUUCACUACGAGGAGUCCCUGUUCUGCCCAAUGUCUAAUAAAGUGAUAUUUCCUGUUGAUAUGUCGGGAUCUGCCAUGAUCCCUCGGUUAUUUGGUCAAGGCAACCGCUCCUUCAUUAUCGCAGAAAAUCUUUGUAGGCUCCUUUAUGGCUGGCAUAACUCUAGGGUCUACGAUGAAGUUCUUCAACCAUAUCGCCUCCUUUGACGCUCUGCUCACUGCUAUGUACUCUGAUUCGCACGUUGAAUCAGCUACGAUCUCCUGUUUGGAACUUUUCCAUGUCACUGGUCCUCCAUUCAGGGUAAAGACCCAGCCAGAAUGAGAGCGGUAGUUGUCUCAUUUGGUCUGAAAACUGGCGUCAUUAUUGUUGGAAUAGUGUCUAAGGCUACAACUAUAUUAGGUAAGUUUUUGAUCCGGUUGUGCAUGGUCCUUUUGGGUUGCCUUCACCAUAGCAACUUGAUAAGGAUGAUUUAUUAAGAGAGAGUAAAUAUUAUUAGUAUAUUAUGAGAAUUAUAUAAAGAAUAAUAUAUUGUUAUUUGAUUAAUAUAAGUCAUAGAAUUAAUUGGAAUUAAUUUGGUGACUUAAAGAGAUUAAUUAAAUAAAGGGGGUAUAAACUAUCAAUUGUUUGAUAGUUAAGCUUUAGACUAUAAAUCCUUAUAGAUAUAUAGUGGACAGAUUCUAGAAGCUAGGAUAGCUCCAAAAUCGUCCAAUGACUUAUCUAUGGAAAGGAUUUGGAUAGCCUUAAGAGAAGAUUAUCCAAUUAGGGUUUAGGUUGUAACCCUUAAGGAGUCUACAAGUAUAAAUAGACCCCAUGGGCAAGGGAAAUCGGCACUUCAUCUAAAGCAUAGAAACCCUGGCCGAUUUCCUCCCCUCUCCUCUCUCCUAAAUCAUCUUCCUUGCUAUUGGUGUUUGUAAGCCAUUAGAGGAGUGACAAUUGUGACUCUAGAAGCUCCAAGACAACAAGAUCAACAAGGAAUUCAAAGGUAUGGUUCUAGAUCUGUUUCAAUGUUGUUAUUUAACCUAAUUAGUCAUUAGAAGUCUUGGAUUCAAAGCAUGUUUAAUUAGAAAGCCUAGAUCCAAGCAUUAGGGUUUUGCAUGCGCACAUAGGAAAGUUCUUAUGGCUAAAACCCAUCAGUGGUAUCAGAGCCUAGCUUGGUUUUCAUUAAAUUGUUGCUUAAUUGUCUGAAACUAAACUGCAAAAUUCGAUUUUUGUGUUUCUGAGUCAUGGACUCGGCGAGUUCCAUAGUGGACUCGGCGAGUUGGCCUGACUCGGCGAGUCCCUUUGUGCACUCGGCGAGUCCAAGCGUCAGGAAUGGCCAGAUUCGGGAUUUCUUCAUGAUUAUCUUAUGGAAACUUACCUUAAUCAUAUUAGAUCAACCCUAAUCCGAUUUUUUGAUAUAUAUGACUAUAAUCUUGAUCUAAUUAAAGAUAUUUAUCAACUAAUAAAAUAUUUAAUUUCCUUAUAUGAUAAUUAAUUAAUUAUUUUGAUUAUUUUGGUAAUUAUCUUGAAAGAAAUCUUGAAUAAAUCAAAUAUAGAUAAUUAGGAAAUUAAUUGUUAAUUGGAAUUAUUUGUUAUUUGAUCCUCCAUGUUUUAAAUGUUUAAAACUUGUCCUCAAGUUUUGAAAUUUAUAUUUUGUGAUUAAAAGUUUUAAUUUAGACAACUUAAAUUUCAAACCCUAGAUUUUAAAAGGUUUAAAAUACAACCCUAUACUAAUAUAAUAUUACAAGAAUAAUAUAUAUAUGUAUAACUAAAUGCUAGUCUUACCGUUAGUAGGCCUCAUUCACGAAGCCGAUCUAUAAGGUGGGUAUAAGGUUGCGGCCUAUAAAAUGGCGCUUAAUGGGUGUACACUCACACCCACCGCUUGCUUGAUCGGUGGAGGGUCGUUAGCCGAACGGGUAGGAUAGGGCAACCUCAUCCUCUCAUUAAAAGUAUAAUAAGUAAUACAAAGUAACUACACAUAUUUUAAAAUUUCCCAAUCCUAGUUACUUUAGGAAAAGUGAAUUGAUGCAAUCCCAUGAAAUUACACUUUGCACCCUUGCUAAGAAGUUAGUGGAGCGUGUGUGGUUUACCGGCACACUAAUUGGUUCUAAGCAAAGGUGGCAAAGGGUGAUUCAUUGUUUAUCAUAGUUCGAUGGAGCGUGUGUGGUUUACCGGCACAUCGAAUAGGUGAUCGUUACAAUGAAGGCACCAUGUGAAUUUGCAUGGUAAUUCACACCCGCUUUGUGAUCCUCGGUAUCCCAGUCACAAACAAGAGGGGCAUAUCGAGAUUUAAACAUGCCAUUGAAUAGUUUCAAUGAAUCUCAUCCGAACCUAGGAAUUCUCAAUACAUUUAGGACUUAAAGUUAUGUUUUUAUGGUGGAGAAUUAGUGAAUCGUCAUUCACUUACCUUCAAUUUAUUUGCAUGUUAGAUUACGGCAUCCCUUUUCUAGUAUGUAAAUGUUAUUGUUGGAUCCUAGCCCUAAUUUUUCUUAUUGGGUGAUAAUUAGGGAUUCUUAUUCUAAUCUAUCUUUGUCCUUUUUUAAUUGUAGAUGUCGAACGCAAACAACGCUGCUGCUAGUUCUUUCACGUUGAUGAGCCUUUGCCAAAAGGUCACCUUCGAUGGAACGAACUUUAGCGAAUGGAUAAGAUACAUUCGCACCAUUGCUCGCUAUGAGGAUAAGGAGUAUGUCCUCGAUGAGAAGCUCGAGAAAAUCAACCCUGAAAUCGCUACUCCGGCUGAAAUGACCGCUUUUGAAACUCAUGAGCGCGAUGCAACGAAGGUACAUUGCAUCAUGAUAGCCACCAUGAACUCCGAAUUCCAAAAGUCCUAUGAGGACAUGUACCCGUACGAGAUGCAUCAAGACUUAUUGGAGAGAUACCACCAAAACGCGAGACAAGAGCGUUAUGAGAUUUUCACUAACAUGAUUUCCGCUAAGAUGGGUCAUGGAGAGUCUCUUACCGUGCACCUGCAAAAGAUGCAAAGGUAUGUCGACCGCCUUCGCAAGUUAAAUGUUGACUUUGGGGAAGACUUGGCGAUCGACAUGGUGCUUCACUCUUUGCCUCCGAUGUACAAUCAAUUUAGGAUGACCUACCACAUGAACAAAGAGGAGGUCACCCUAAGCAAACUCCAAGGUCUCUUGAGGGUCGCUGAGAGCAACUUCAAAGACAAGUCUGUUGCACCAACUCCCAAUCCACCCGCUGCUCCUGUCUUGGCUAUUGGUCAAGGAAAGGGAAAGAAGAGGAAGGCUUCGUCUAAGAACUAUCGCAAGGUUAAAGCCCGAGAUGGUGCCUCUUCUAGUGGGACCAAAGUUGAUCCCGCUAAGCCCUGCCCUAACCCGAAGGAGGCAGAGUGCCACCACUGCCACAAGAUAGGACAUUGGAAGAGAAGCUGCCCAGAGUACCUGCAAGCAAUCAAAGAAGGAAAGAUCAAGCCAUCUUUCGCAGGUAUAUACACAAUCAAAUCUAACGAUUCUAAUCAUGCUAUUUCUUGGGUUCUUGAUACCGGUUGUGGUUAUCACAUUUGUUCUAAUGUGCAGGGACUAAGAAGAAGUAGGGAUGUGGAGCAAGGAAGGAUCAAUCUAAUCAUGGGGAACAGAAGAUCGUCGCCUGUGACCAAGAUUGGAGUGUAUUCUUUAGUGCUUAGGAAUAAUUUAUGUUUAGAUUUGAACAAUUGUUGCUAUUCGCCAGAAAUGGCUAGAAACAUCAUUUCAUUUCAUGGUUUAUAUAGACAAGGUUUUAGAUUUUCUUUUAAUAAUGAGAAUGGUUCUAUUUUGGCUUAUCUAAAUGGUGUCUUUUACUUUGAAGCUAUACCAUGUAAUGGAAUUUAUGAAACUGUUAUGAUUGUUGAUAACUUAGGAAAUGAUGUUUUGAACAUAGAUUCUUCCACUAGUAUGGAUAAAGCAUCCUUGUGGCAUUGUCGUCUUGGACAUGUCAACAAGAAACGCAUAGCCCAACUCCAAAAGGAUGGAGUGUUGGAGUCAUUCGACCUUAGGGAAGAUGACACAUGCGAGUCUUGUUUGCUUGGAAAGAUGACUAAGUCACCCUUCACGAGUACAUGUGAAAGGGGCGAGGGUCUAUUGGACCUAAUACAUACCGAUGUAUGUGGACCGUUUAGAUCAACCACGAAGGAUGGGAACCGCUUCUAUGUGACUUUUACCGAUGACUAUAGUAGAUAUGGGUAUAUCUACUUAAUCAAGCAAAAGUCAGACACCUUUGAAAAGUUCAAAGAGUUCAAGAAUGAAGUGGAGAAUCAAUUGGGCAGGAAAAUCAAGAUGCUUCGAUCCGAUCGAGGAGGAGAGUACCUAAGUCUUGAAUUCCACGAUUAUCUCAAGGAGUGUGGAAUAGUUUCACAAUUGACGCCUCCUAGGACACCGCAGUUGAAUGGUGUGGCAGAAAGGCGUAAUCGAACCUUAUUGGAUAUGGUUCGCUCUAUGAUGAGUCGUGCUUCACUACCUAUCUCUUUUUGGGGGUAUGCCUUAGAGACUGCCGCCCAUAUCCUUAACCGAGUCCCUACUAAGAAGGUUGCCAAAACACCUCACGAGAUGUGGACAGGGAAAGCUCCCUCGUUGGCACAUAUCAAGGUUUGGGGUUGCGAGGCUUUCGUAAGACGAGAUACUCACGACAAGCUUGAACCUCGAAGUGAGCGAUGUAUUUUCAUCGGCUACCCGCAGACAUCCUUUGGAUAUCUCUUCUAUAGACCGAAGGACAAUGUUGUCUUCGUUGCGAGGAGAGGAGUUUUCCGAGAGCGAGAACUCAUAAGCCAAGGAGACAGUGGGAGGCAAAUCGAACUUGAAGAGAUUCAAGAGUCGAUAGAUGAAGGAACCUCUACCGCUGGCACUCAACCCGAGGAGGAAACUCCGGUUGAACCGAUUGACGAAUCCUUACCUCUUAGACGUUCCGAUAGAGUUAGAGUUCUUCCCCAGUUUUAUGGUUUUCAUAUUACUACCGAAGGGGACACGUAUAUUAGUGAUGGUACACUAGUAAAUCUUGAUGAACCUAAUAGCUAUAAGGAAGCCAUGGCAGGCCCGGAGUCUGCAAAAUGGAAAGAGGCAAUGGAUAGCGAGAUCCAAUCCAUGUAUGAUAACCAAGUUUGGAAUUUGGUUGAUUAUGUGCCCGGACGUAAGACCGUUGGGUGCAAAUGGAUCUUCAAGAAGAAGACC
rnacentral:lncRNA from 1 species